AACAACACUGUGCUCUCACCCUAGCGUCGCACUGUGAUGGACGCCACCUUUGCAAUAAGACGGUUUGUGAAAUUUCAUCCCUGCUGGAUAUUCCACAGUCAACUAGUUCGUUGAAGCGUUCAUCCUGGGCCACAGUGAAAUGGUUCUUCCAGUCACCAACUUUUCCUGGAGAACACACAGGAUCAUUUAGGUGAAAGAGACAAACCGAGGAAGGAACACAUUCGGUCAAUCUCUCGUCCAGAGUCCUAAUAAAAAAAAAAAACAACA